GACGAACGCUGGCGGCGUGCCUAAUACAUGCAAGUUGAGCGCUGAAGGUUGGUACUUGUACCAACUGGAUGAGCAGCGCACGGGUGAGUAACGCGUGGGGAAUCUGCCUUUGAGCGGGGGACAACAUUUGGAAACGAAUGCUAAUACCGCAUAAAAACUUUAAACACAAGUUUUAAGUUUGAAAGAUGCAAUUGCAUCACUCAAAGAUGAUCCCGCGUUGUAUUAGCUAGUUGGUGAGGUAAAGGCUCACCAAGGCGAUGAUACAUAGCCGACCUGAGAGGGUGAGCGGCCACACUGGGACUGUGACACGGCACAAACGCCUACGGGAGGCAGCAGUAGGGAAUCGUCGGCAAUGGGCGAAAGUCUGACCGAGCAACGCCGCGUGAGUGUAGAGGGUUUUCGGAUCGUAAAACUCUGUUGGUAGAGAAGAACGUGGGUGAGAGUGGAAAGCUCAUCAAGUGACGGUAACUACCCAGAAAGGGACGGCUAACUACGUG
rnacentral:rRNA from 1 species